UGGACAAUUGGGGGCGACAUAGAAAAAGCCAUGACUGCAGGCUACUAGAGCACACAUGCUCACAGUGAGUCCACUGGUAGGUGAAACGUCUGCCUGAAACUUUCUCUCCCAUCCACCAAUGAGAGUUUUCAUGAAUUUCCUACCAUAUACGGUAAGAGAGAGAAAGAGAGAGAGAGAGAGAGAGAGAGAGAGAGAGAGAAACAGAGAGAGAGAGAGGGGCGUGGUCCAUUGUUUUGUUUUUGCCGUGGUGUAAAGUUACUUUUCUAACCCUGUCAUUACCUGAAGCCCUCCUCCUCCUCUUUCUCCUCCUCCUCUUUUCCUCCAAUCUGCCGCACAUCAAAGAUGGGCUGAUAGAGACGUGGGGGCAGCGUGUUGCAGCAGGACUGAAGUGAGUCAGGAGAACACAGAGACAGAUACCCGCAGUAUGAUAAGGACUGAUAGAUCGACUGCCUUUUGUGGUGGCGAAACAAAGCUCAAACAAUCACACGGCAGAACUCCUCAAAGAUUACUGCUCAGCUGCUGAUUUCACCCUGCUGUCACCUGCCUCAGACAAGUAACAAUUCAUCAAUGAAAAAAAAAAAAACACAUUUGUUGGACAUGAGCCUGAACAGUCAGGUUUCACCCUCCCCCCUUCCUGAACACCUCCUGAAUCUGGAUCCACACACAUCCUAGACCUGCAAAUAACAAUAUUAAUAGUAAAAUAUCAAUUAAUUGAGCAUGAGCUUUUUGCCAUUAUGGCUUUCAAUAAACUGCCUCACUGACUUCUUGGACUAUUUUUCCUGUUAUUUCUUUCGUACAUCUCAUGUAGGCCUCCCAACGAUUCACCAAUAAAAAUAAAUGCUCUAAAUACAACUAAAUAUUCUUGAGAUGGAGUUCUUUUUUGCACGAGCCACAUCUCGGUCGUCUCUCAGGUUAAAAACCCUCCUCUGACUCAUCAGCUUCUGCUUGCAGGUAUCUCCCUCUCUGUGAGUGGUAUGGAUUUAAUGAGGGAAAUCAAUAAGCCUCAGGGGUCGUGGCUCUCACCUGGAAUCACGUCAUCGCGUGCCUCAUGGGAAGAGUACAUGUUCCUUAUGGUUUGCACUUUUGUGCCGAGUUAUUUACUCUAGUUACUGCAAUGAAGUAGCUUAUUGUGCAAUGUGAAGCAAUGAGUGUUUUUUAAGUCAGUAAUUUUACUUUUGCCUUCAUGGUUUUACUCAAGUAUUGUACUUAGCUACAUUUUAAUUCACAUUCAUGUCACACAGCCCAUUAUUUAUUCAUUUAUUCAUAGAUAUUUUGCUGUUGCUGUUGUUCUUCUUUUUCUUCUUCCUCUUUGCCUUCUUUUUCUUCGUCUUCUCAUUAUCAUGGUUAUUAUUAUUGUUACCACUGGCUCUCCAUAAGCAUCAGAAACUGGAUAGUUGUAAAGAAGCCAAUGGUGGAGCGACCUGACUUUCCUUUGUGCACUUUUUUUGUAUUUUCUAAAGGAAGCCCUGUGCUCUCGUCUCAUUGGAAUUACACAGACAACAAAAAUGACAUGUAGCACUCUUUUAUCUUCUAAAAAGUAACAGUAACCUCUACUCCAACUUCAUUUUGAGAUAUUCUAACACUGUUUCCAACCCUGAUUCUGGGUAUGUUUUUUCCACUAUGUAAUUUUGUUCUUCAUUGUUUCCAUGUUCAGACUGUAAAAGCAAAUUUCUCUAUUCUCCUCUCCAAACUCUCACCUGACACUUUACUCAAUCUUCAUGCUGUUAGUCCGCUGCCACCGCAGGGCACAGCCUACUCUUGCACCAUUUAUUGGAUGUUGCAACUUCCUCUAGAUCACUUCAGGAUAGCGAAAAACACUUUCAUACACCUCACAGUGGUCCCAGUACACACUGACCAUCAGUUUUGCUCCAUGCACACACCUCCUGUAUACUGCAGUCACUGAAACACCCACCGAACUAGAAAACAGCACUUUAAGUUACUUCACAUGCUUAAAUGUGUGCGGCAGUUGUGCAAACUUCCAGCUUACAGAACCAGAGAGAAGCUGUCAUGUCUCGUCUUGUCAUGCAGGCAGCCGCAAACUUGCUAGGAAACUUCAGUGAGGGGGAGAGAGUGGAGGCCGCAGAGGGAAGCAAAAACGGAGAGGAAGGCAACUUGUUCGCAAUUUCAGAGUAGCAGCCGGUGUAGAUCUCAAUGCCCUGGCUGAUGUGCUCCUCGCUGUCCCAUGCACCGCGGGGAGAGUGCCAGCGCUUGUCAACCUGGAGGCCAUCAGAUCACACAUGGUUAAAAGUGGCAGCAGGAA